GUCGUGAGAUGUUGGGUUAAGUCCCGCAACGAGCGCAACCCUCGUUCUAUGUUGCCAGCACGUUAUGGUGGGGACUCAUAGGAGACUGCCGGGGUCAACUCGGAGGAAGGUGGGGACGACGUCAAAUCAUCAUGCCCCUUAUGUCUUGGGCUUCACGCAUGCUACAAUGGCCGGUACAAUGGGUUGCGAUACUGUGAGGUGGAGCUAAUCCCAAAAAGCCGGUCUCAGUUCGGAUUGGGGUCUGCAACUCGACCCCAUGAAGUCGGAGUCGCUAGUAAUCGCAGAUCAGCAACGCUGCGGUGAAUACGUUCCCGGGCCUUGUACACACCGCCCGUCAAGUCACGAAAGUUGGUAACACCCGAAGCCGGUGGCCUAACCCCUUGUGGGAGGGAGCCGUCGAAGGUGGGACUGGCGAUUGGGACUAAGUCGUAACAAGGUAGCCGUACCGGAAGGUGCGGCUGGAUCACCUCCUUAGAGUUUGAUCCUGGCUCAGGAUGAACGCUGGCGGCGUGCUUAACACAUGCAAGUCGAACGAUGACUUUUGUGCUUGCACAGAAUGAUUAGUGGCGAACGGGUGAGUAACACGUGAGUAACCUGCCCCUGACUCUGGGAUAAGCCUGGGAAACUGGGUCUAAUACUGGAUAUGCACCGUAGACCGCAUGGUUUUUGGUGGAAAGAAUUUUGGUCAGGGAUGGACUCGCGGCCUAUCAGCUUGUUGGUGAGGUAAUGGCUCACCAAGGCGACGACGGGUAGCCGGCCUGAGAGGGUGACCGGCCACACUGGGACUGAGACACGGCCCAGACUCCUACGGGAGGCAGCAGUGGGGAAUAUUGCACAAUGGGCGAAAGCCUGAUGCAGCGACGCCGCGUGAGGGAUGACGGCCUUCGGGUUGUAAACCUCUUUCAGUAGGGAAGAAGCGAAAGUGACGGUACCUGCAGAAGAAGCGCCGGCUAACUACGUGCCAGCAGCCGCGGUAAUACGUAGGGCGCAAGCGUUAUCCGGAAUUAUUGGGCGUAAAGAGCUCGUAGGCGGUUUGUCGCGUCUGCCGUGAAAGUCCGAGGCUCAACUUCGGAUCUGCGGUGGGUACGGGCAGACUAGAGUGAUGUAGGGGAGACUGGAAUUCCUGGUGUAGCGGUGAAAUGCGCAGAUAUCAGGAGGAACACCGAUGGCGAAGGCAGGUCUCUGGGCAUCUACUGACGCUGAGGAGCGAAAGCAUGGGGAGCGAACAGGAUUAGAUACCCUGGUAGUCCAUGCCGUAAACGUUGGGCACUAGGUGUGGGGGACAUUCCACGUUUUCCGCGCCGUAGCUAACGCAUUAAGUGCCCCGCCUGGGGAGUACGGCCGCAAGGCUAAAACUCAAAGGAAUUGACGGG
rnacentral:rRNA from 1 species